GCAACAAAAGAGAAACAGUCUGCUUAAUCAAUUCAAUUCAUUACAUAUUUAUGGAGCACUGAUUUUUUUUUUUUUUUUUUGUCGAGGGAACAUUCAAGGUGCUGCGGGACUUUACAACAUAGGUGGUAAGACAGCUAGGGAAAUCUCACGCUGCUUAGCCUGGCAUCAGUGUUGCAAGAGGAUAAAGGAACUACAGAUCAGAAAAGGCACUCUGAAAAGCAAACUGCAAGUCACAAAGGUUACGUGACUGCCGGGUAUUGUCUUGCUGACUGUCAGCCCCAGGGAGGACUCCCAGUUCCUGGAAGGCACCCUCACGUCCUUGCCAUGAGAUCCCCUUCAUUGGCAGUUCACAACGUGGCUGUUUGCUUCUUCAGGAUCAGCAGGAGAAUCUCUUGCUUUCAGUCUCUCAUCUGAUUAGGUAAGGAUUACCAGGAUUACCUCCCUAAAUUAAAAUCAAAGGAUUAAGGGCCUUAAUUAUAUCUGCAACAUCAUUGCAGCACCUACACUCAUGUGAUUUUGUUGUUGUUGUUGCUUUUUUGUUUUUUGUUUGUUUGUUUGUUUUUUAAUUUAUUUAACAG
rnacentral:lncRNA from 1 species